GGUCGGUUAGCUCAGUUGGUUAGAGCGUGGUGCUAAUAGAUACGGGGGUUGAACCCUCGAAUCUAAAAUACGCCAAGGUCGCGGGUUCGACCCCCGUACUGACCA